UACCUGCAGCUCAAGUAGUGACCACUAUUAUUGGGCCUAAAACGUUCGUAGCCGGUUUGGUAAAUGCCUGGGUAAAUCGUGUAGCUUAACUAUACGAAUUCCGGGUAGACUGCCAAACUUGAAACCGGGAGAAGCUAGAGGUACUCCUGGGGUAGAGGUGAAAUUCUGUAAUCCUAGGGGGACCACCAGUGGCGAAGGCGUCUAGCUAGAACGGGUUUGACGGUGAGGAACGAAGCCCUGGGGCGCAAACCGGAUUAGAUACCCGGGUAGUCCAGGGUGUAAACGCUGCUUGCUUGAUGUUAGUUGGGCUCCGAGCCCAAUUAGUGUCGGAGAGAAGUUGUUAAGCAAGCUGCCUGGGAAGUACGAUCGCAAGAUUGAAACUUAAAGGAAUUGGCGGGGAGCACAGCAACGGGUGGAGCGUGCGGUUU
rnacentral:rRNA from 1 species